UCGUCUUAGCUGCAAGUAUAAAUUUUGGAUUUAUUACUUUGGGUUUUAGUGGCAGAGAAACUUUUAAUCAAAUCCAAAGGCUUUGCCAUUACAAACUACAAUCUCUUGGCCCUCAACAUUGCCGAGAGAACCUCCUUUAAAUCUCCUGAGUUUCGCAGUGACUGUUGCAUUUUGUCCUGUUUAUCGGUUUGACACAGAGUUUGGGAAAAUGUUUCCAGGAAAGUCUGACCUCUUCCUUCGAAAAUGGGAAGGAAAUAUCGUCCUUAAAAUACUGAAAAUGACUCCAUCACAGGAGAAUCCCCUCGUCUUGCCAUCUGAAGAUGUGAGAUUGGCUGGUUCACAGCUGAUCGGAGGAUCAGCCUCAAGAACCAUGGACCCAGAGAUGUUCAGCGACCUACCUGGAGUAUCAGCUUUUAACAACUGCUCAAAGUAGUCGGUCCAGUGGGUCACAACUGUUGUGCCAUCCGUAAGGACCGUUCCAUCAUCCGCCCUCACAGCAUUUCUCCGAGGAACAGAUUCAGAUAGUCCUGCUUCAGAGCUCUUCAGAUGCUCACAGAUCUUUUGCUUCCUGCAGUAUUGAUCAGAAUCCAGCCGAGACAUGGAAUGUCACAGUCCCAUCCUCGUGUGUUUUGGACAGCCCUGCGCCAUUGCCUGAUACCUCAUCCUGAGCCUGAUACCUCAUCCUGAGCCUGAUACCUCAUCCUGAGCCUGAUACCUCAUCCUGGCCCGGAAUGACCAGGUUGUCAUUCCACUUCAGGAUUGCAGUUUGACAUGUGCCACUGAUAAACUUCAGGAUAUAUUGGGUUUGCAACCUGCCAUAUUCUGCCUGACUUGCAUCAGUCUUUAAUUUCCUUGAGUAUGUUUAUGACUGGCGUCUCUCUCUUGGGUGGAGAUCAAAGGCCGAGGAGCUCAGUCCAAAGCUUCAUUUAGUGGUGUAAGGUGAGGGGUUCCCAACAUCCAGUACCGAUCCAUGGUCGGCAUCCUACUGGACAUUCUGUUUGCAUCUAAAAAAAAAGGAAAUUGUAAAACUUAUGACAUCGCCUUUUUACUGUGGACAUCAAAAGGUUGGGAGCCCCCAGUUUAAGACACUAGCAUGUACAUCUGUCCUAUGGGCACAAACUCAUUUUCCAAAGGGACAUUGUUCAUGGAAUUUUCUGCUCAUAAAUGACAGUAGUCACUGACAAAUCCACAGCUGCUUCCUGAAGAGUGUUUCUGAUCUGUCAGACAGGUCUGUGCUGAUUUUUUCCCCCUAUAGUUCCUGAAUGUGAAAAUGAAGAUGUUGUAAUAAUUUCAUGGAUUUUACACCAGAAAUAUUUUGAUGGUCCCAUGUGUGCUUAUGUGAUGGAAUGAACAAACGAAAUAAACUGAUUAAUGUAAAAGAUACAGCAGACAGACGUAAGACCACCAGACUUGGCAUCUUUUACAGACCUAUUGUAUGUUUAUGCAAGAUACAAGAUUUUUUUUAAGUCAUGCUAGAGGUUGGAAACAGUGACUGUUCUUGCAUUAUACUGUGACUUGAGAAGUGAUUGCCUGACUAGUU